CCCCUUGCUGUUCUCGUGAUAGUGAGUGCGUUCUCAUGAGAUCUGGUUGCUUAAAAGUGUGUAGUACCGGUCUGCAGAAUCUGCACCAACCAGCACCAUGCCCACGACACUGGGGUAUGGGGACAUCCACGGGCUGGCACACGCCAUCCGCCUGCUCUUGGAAUAUACAGACUCAAGCUACAAGGAAAAGAAGUACAUGAUGGGGGACUCUCCUAACUAUGACAGAGGCCAGUAGCUGCAUGAAAAAUUCCAGCUGGGCCUGGACUUUCCCAAUCUGCCCUACUUGUUCGAUGGGGCUCACAAGAUCACCCAGAGCAAUGCCAUCCUGUGCCACAUUGCCCGCAAGCACAACUUGUGUGGGGAGACAGAAGAGGAGAAGAUUCGUGUGGACAUUUUGGAGAACCAGUCCAUGGACAACCUGAUGCAGCUGGCCAUGAUCUGCUACAUCCCAGAAUUUGAGAAAGUGAAGCCAAAGUACUUGGAGGAACUCCCUGAAAAGCUAACGCUCUACUCGCAGUUUCUGGGGAAGCGGCCAUGGUUUGCAGGAGACGAAAUCACCUUUGUGGACUUCCUCGCCUAUGACAUCCUUGACCUGAACUGUAUAUUUGAGCCCAGCUGCCUGGAUGUCUUCCCAAACCUGAAGGACUUCAUCUCCCGAUUUGAGGGUUUGAAAAAGAUCUCUGCCUACAUGAAGUCCAGCCAAUGCCUCCAAGGUCCUUUGUUUGGGAAGUCAGCUAUGCCUGGGAGCCUGGAGAACACUGGAGAACAGCCCGACUCCCUGGACCCUCCUUCUUUCUUUCUCCUUGUUUCUACUCUCUUCUCUUCCCCAAGGCCUCAUUGGCUUCCUUUCUUCUAACAUGAUCCCUCCUGCAUCCAGGCUCUUUAAAGCUUCAGCUGCCACUAUCUUCCAUCAAAGUCCCCCUCCUAACAUCUCUCUUUUUCUGCGCUAACACCAACCUGACUGCUUUUCCUAUCAGUGCUUGUUUCUUCUUUGAAAAGCUGGACUGAUCCCUGAGCUCCCCAGCACUGUCCUCAAAGACCAUCUGCAUGCCCUGCUCCCUUUGCUAGGUCCCUACCCCAGCCCUGUGUGAUGCCCAGUAAAGCCUGAACCAUGAAAAAAAAAA